rnacentral:rRNA from 1 species
UCAAGUGAAGAAGCGCAUACGGUGGAUGCCUUGGCAGUCAGAGGCGAAGAAAGACGUGUGAGCCUGCGAAAAGCAUCGGGGAGGCGGCAACAAUCCUGUGAUCCGGUGAUGUCUGAAUGGGGAAACCCACCCAACUUAAGUUGGGUAUCGCAACAUGAAUACAUAGUGUUGCGAGGCGAACGAGGGGAAGUGAAACAUCUCAGUACCCUCAGGAAAAGAAAUCAAUUGAGAUUCCCUCAGUAGCGGCGAGCGAAAGGGGAAGAGCCCAUUAAGUUAUCUGUGUUUUAGUGGAAUGAGAUGGAAAGCUCAGCCGUAGUAGGUGAUAGCCCUGUACGCGAAAGGGCACAGAUAAUGAAUCGAGUAGGGCGGGACACGUGAAAUCCUGUCUGAACAUGGGGGGACCAUCCUCCAAGGCUAAAUACUCCUGACUGACCGAUAGUGAACCAGUACCGUGAGGGAAAGGCGAAAAGAACCCCUGUGAGGGGAGUGAAAUAGAUCCUGAAACCGUGUGCAUACAAGCAGUGGGAGCGGACUUGUUCCGUGACUGCGUACCUUUUGUAUAAUGGGUCAGCGACUUAUAUUCUGUAGCAAGGUUAACCGAUUAGGGGAGCCGUAGGGAAACCGAGUCUUAAUAGGGCGUUUAGUUGCAGGGUAUAGACCCGAAACCCGGUGAUCUAGCCAUGGGCAGGUUGAAGCGGAGGUAAGACUUCGUGGAGGACCGAACCCACCAGGGUUGAAAACCUGGGGGAUGACCUGUGGUUAGGGGUGAAAGGCCAAUCAAACUCCGUGAUAGCUGGUUCUCCCCGAAAUGCAUUUAGGUGCAGCGUCGUGUGUUUCUUGCCGGAGGUAGAGCACUGGAUAGGCGAUGGGCCCUACCGGGUUACUGACCUUAGCCAAACUCCGAAUGCCGGUAAGUGAGAGCACGGCAGUGAGACUGUGGGGGAUAAGCUUCAUAGUCGAGAGGGAAACAACCCAGACCACCAACUAAGGUCCCAAAGCGCGUGCUAAGUGGGAAAGGAUGUGGAGUCGCAGAGACAACCAGGAGGUUGGCUUAGAAGCAGCCACCCUUUAAAGAAAGCGUAAUAGCUCACUAGUCGAGUCGGCCUGCGCGGAAGAUGUAACGGGGCUCAAACCAUACACCGAAGCUACGGGUAUCACCUUAUGGUGAUGCGGUAGAGGAGCGUUCUGUAAGCCUGUGAAGGUGAGUUGAGAAGCUUGCUGGAGGUAUCAGAAGUGCGAAUGCUGACAUGAGUAGCGUUAAAGGGGGUGAAAAGCCCCCUCGCCGUAAGCGCAAGGUUUUCUACGCAACGUUCAUCGGCGUAGAGUGAGUCGGCCCCUAAGGCGAGGCAGAGAUGCGUAGCUGAUGGGAAACAGGUCAAUAUUCCUGUACCGAUAUGUAGUGCGAUGUGGGGACGGAGAAGGUUAACUCAGCCGGGUGUUGGAUGUCCCGGUUCAAGCGUGUAGUCGUGCCCCUUAGGCAAAUCCGGGGGGAUUAGAUGAGGCGUGAUAACGAGGCGGCUUGCCGCUGAAGUGAGUGAUACCCUGCUUCCAGGAAAAGCCACUAAGCUCCAGCUACAUACGACCGUACCGCAAACCGACACUGGUGCGCGAGAUGAGUAUUCUAAGGCGCUUGAGAGAACUCUGGAGAAGGAACUCGGCAAAUUGACACCGUAACUUCGGAAGAAGGUGUGCCUUUAGUAGGUGAACCAUUUACUUGGGGAGCCCAAUAAGGCCGCAGAGAAUCGGUGGCUGCAACUGUUUAUUAAAAACACAGCACUCUGCAAAGACGAAAGUCGACGUAUAGGGUGUGACUCCUGCCCGGUGCUGGAAGAUUAAAUGAUGGGGUGCAAGCUCUUGAUUGAAGUCCCAGUAAACGGCGGCCGUAACUAUAACGGUCCUAAGGUAGCGAAAUUCCUUGUCGGGUAAGUUCCGACCUGCACGAAUGGCGUAACGAUGGCCACACUGUCUCCUCCUGAGACUCAGCGAAGUUGAAAUGUUUGUGAUGAUGCAAUCUCCCCGCGGAAAGACGGAAAGACCCCAUGAACCUUUACUGUUCCCUGGGAUUGGAUUUGGGCCUUUCCUGCGCAGCUUAGGUGGAGGGCGAAGAAGGCCUCCUUCCGGGGGGGCCCGAGCCGUCAGUGAGAUACCACUCUGGAAGAGCUAGAAUUCUAACCUUGUGUCAGGACCUACGGGCCAAGGGACAGUGCCUGGUGGGUAGUUUAACUGGGGCGGUUGCCUCCUAAAGAGUAACGGAGGCGCCCAAAGGUUCCCUCAGCCUGGUUGGCAAUCAGGUGUUGAGUGUAAGUGCACAAGGGAGCUUGACUGUGAGACUGACGGGUCGAGCAGGGACGAAAGUCGGGACUAGUGAUCCGGCGGUGGCUUGUGGAAGCGCCGUCGCUCAACGGAUAAAAGGUACCCCGGGGAUAACAGGCUGAUCUUCCCCAAGAGUCCAUAUCGACGGGAUGGUUUGGCACCUCGAUGUCGGCUCGUCGCAUCCUGGGGCUGGAGUAGGUCCCAAGGGUUGGGCUGUUCGCCCAUUAAAGCGGUACGCGAGCUGGGUUUAGAACGUCGUGAGACAGUUCGGUCCCUAUCCGCCGUGCGCGUUGGAUACUUGAGAAGGGCUGUCCCUAGUACGAGAGGACCGGGACGGACGAACCUCUGGUGUGCCAGUUGUCCUGCCAAGGGCAUGGCUGGUUGGCUACGUUCGGGAGGGAUAACCGCUGAAAGCAUCUAAGCGGGAAGCACGCUCCAAGAUGAGUGCUCUCCUAUUCCGACUUCCCCAGAGCCUCCGGUAGCACAGCCGAGACAGCGACGGGUUCUCUGCCCCUGCGGGGAUGGAGCGACAGAAGUAUUGAG